rnacentral:tRNA from 3 species
GCCAGUGUGGUGAAAUGGUAGACACGCCGGAUUCAAAAUCCGGUGGCGCAAGUCGUGGCGGUUCGAGUCCGCCCACUGGUACCA